CGUCUGCUCAUGUGUGACCUUGAUGGCCGAAAAACUCACAGUAACCAUUCACUUUGGUAUACUUAACAAAAUCUGUUUUUACGGCUGAUUGGAGGGGGCUAUCUGAUUGCAAGUCAGAGCUGAUGCAGAGACAGGUCAUUUGCUGUAUAUAGUCACUUUAAUUAGCUCUGGUCAAGGCUAAAAUUCUCUUUAUAUGUCCCUUAGAGGGAAACAUUUGGAGCAGCUAAACCAGUGCUUCUCCAUUGGUGGCUCAGGUCUCAAAAGUGGGUCGCAGGUGCAUCUUCAGUGGGUAGUUGUGAGCCUUUGCCAAGACAAAUGUUGAUAUAUAGUUUUGUUAGUUAGCCUGAUGAUAAAAGCUCAAAACAACAGAACCUUUGGAUUAAGUAUUGUGGCAGUAUGCCUGCAGGCGGGCACUGCCACUUGUAGUUUUGAUGGUGAUUGGCUGUGCGCGCCAGCUGUCACCUGAUAAAUAGCACUUCCGUUAAUUGUUUGACCUCUGACUUCCUGUACGCCCAGUCUUGUGUUGUGGUUGUUGCUCCUCGUCACUCUCCAGUCCAGGUAGUAUCCUAUUGGUCGCUAAAUCUAAAUAUCUUAAGUUGGUAUUAACUAUAUUGUUAACGUUUAGUUUGUCGCGGCGCCUUCAUGGGCCCGCGGUCUCCCUGUAACUGGUCAUGCUAGUAGUUGAGUGGAUUGGCUGCGUUGACUCGGACUCCGCUGUCAAAGCCCCGAGCCAUGCAAAUGCCCCGCUCAGACGUCUGGGACCAAGGAGAGUCGUCACUGCCGCCUGCCUUUUUCCUUGCCCUUUUUCUCCGCCCUUUUACCACCUUUUUGUUCGCCUGUUCUGUUAUUAUUCCCCUGUCACUGGAUUCGUGGAGCGCCGUAGGUGCGCAACGUCAUGGGUAGACUGUGGUAACUGAAAUAUGGACUGAAAACAAGUAACCAAACGAACUGUGAAACGACUUUGGAACAACAUGAUUUUAACUAAAGAAUGUGAAAAUAAAUGUAAAACUUUUCUAUAAAGUGCCUGGCCUCUAUGAUCCAUCUACUCAACAACGAACCUACGUGCUUUACUUAGUUCUGGUGCUGGCCAUCUCCAGCUGGCGUUGUCUGGCAAUCUUAUGUUUAAAACAGCUAAGUUAACCCUCGCAUUGCCACAGUAUUUUAAUAUUCAAUUGGCCCGGUGGUUUUUAACCUGGAGGUCAGAAAUGUUUUUUUUUUUUAAAGUCAUAUUUUUAGGUGGGUCACAGAGGUUGAAUCCUGAAACUACAUCAGUUGAGAACAAUUAACAAUCAAUUGAACAAUACUGAACUAAAAUCAACCCUUUUUAUUAUUUAUUUUUUAUUUGUACAAUGCGUAGAAGUAGAAGUUGUAACUGCCUCAAGAAUAUGGUUGUACAGUUUUUCCCAGUAGCUUUGGCCCAGAUCACCGCUGGUCAUUUAAAAAGUUUGAAAGUUUGAUAAAUAAUCUGUACAAACAGCAAAAUGCAAUGUAACAAUUGCAGAAUCACAUCACCAGCUCAAAAGCUUAAUAACUGAAUUAAAGUUAAGGAUUUGUAUCAGGGAAAGCUCUCAUAAUGCAAAGGUCUUUAUUGUUUAUGGACAUAUCAAAAUGCUUCACUAUUUUCAAUGUACUGAAGAAAUAAAGUAAGAGAUAUCACAGAUUGAAGUUCCAUGUGACUGUCUUGGUCUUGAAAAUAAGUUCAACACAACAUUGUUUGAAUGGCUAAUCACACACUGUUUUAAGUGUUAACAGAAAAUGGUAAGUAACUCAUCAGUGGUUUCCAAAAGAUAGUUGACAUAACUACAGUAUUAUUGUAGUAUCAUUGUGCUUCUUACAAAUUCUGACGUUCAUUUCUGUUGGGCCAAAGAUUCUCCCCUAGAUCACAAAGUAUAUUUUCAGUGGGGAAAUAAUCUUCUGACCUCAUAUCCAGCUUCUGCAGGUCCUGCUGUGAUCUCACACGCUGUAUCCAUGGCAGCAACAGGCCAUUUGAGUGGACACUGAUAAUAUUCUUUUAUCUUCAUGGAGAGUAAAAUUCCAACCCAUCCAGGAAUUUAAACGACAGGCAUUAACAAUUACUGUACAAUUAUAUUUAAUAGCAGUUCUGAUUUGAGACUUAAGCCAAAACUGAGAGAAAAAAAAAAUCACAUCGUAUCAUAUACAGUACAUUAUUGUACUUUUAUUGAGUUAUUUAGGAAAACAAGGCAAACCUAGAGGCAAACAAAGAGUUUUCACAGGGAGUCUUAAUUUAUAUUUCACAUGCAAUUUGGAUUCCAUGUAAUUUGUAAAUUAGUUGAAGCUUGUAUUGAAUUGUGGUUAACGUGUGAAAGCCUUGCACCAGUCUUUCAGGGUCUGUAAGGCUUGGUCAUUUGUUCUGCAUUUUACUAAUCCCUGCAGCGUUUCAUGGUAGACCACAUGAACAUCUUGAAUGACGUUCUGAUGUCCAUGGUUCAGCUGGACCUCUGCUGGAGAAAUGUCUUUCCUCGAAUGAUGCAUUAUCAAUAGAAUAACAUUCUUUCCACUUGCCCCACCUAAAAAGAAAACAAACAAACAUUACAAUAAAAAGGAGGCCAAAAAUCUCCAUGGAAAUGUCUGGGUUUUACCUGGGAUAUUCCUAAUGGCGUCGUCCACAUCCAACCCAACACGAGAGGUUACUGGGCAGAAGACCACCACCACAUCACAGUCUGCUGGGCUGGAACAGACUUCCAUGUCAACCUGUUUGAGGAUCUGUGUGUCUGCGCCGUAGGUUUUAGCAGCAACCACAGGGAAGACUUUCACUUUUACGGAAGGCUUCAGAAAUUCUGGCCUUGAAGGCAUUGAAAACUGUUCCCACCAACUGCCUAAGGGGAAAAGUUUACUGAACAGGCUUUGUUGCUUUUUUUCACUGAUAAACAUUUGCUAAUGCAGUGACAAAUGCACUGCUGAGCAUAACUUAAAUGCUUCAUAAAAACACGGCAUACCUUCGUCUUUUGCUUCUCAGGUGAUCUGUCUUUCAGGAAUUUGUUUAAGGCCAAUAAUAAACCAUUUAGGUUAUUGACAUUGUAGUCCUUCUGCUGGUAGUCAGAGACGACCUGUUUGAGGCCUUUAAGAGAAAGACAAAUGUUUUUAUUGCAAUAUCCAUGACAGGUGGAUGCUUAUUGUUGCCA
rnacentral:lncRNA from 1 species